AGAAUGCAGGAGUCAACGGGGAGACUGGGUAAAGACUAGAAAGCAUCUCUGGCCCAACCACAUAGAGUGCACUGCCUACUUUAUCCACAGAAGACUCACAGAAGUGAGGGAGGAGUGCGGGGCUGGUUGGAGGAGGAAGUAGGGAUGGAGUGCGUCCACAAUUCUUUAGGAAUGUGGGGUGAAGAGUGUGGUAGGGUUCAUCCACUUGGGAGGAGCUGGAGGACCUUUGAAUAUUGAUGAUGAGGUCGCGUGUUCGCUUGUUGGAGACUCCCUCCCUCUGGCCACACUUGAAUUGCAUGUGGGAUUUGAUGGAAGCGGUCUUUCUCGUUGUCACCACACAUCUUCCCUCAAAGGUUGAAUGUCACUGACCUGGAUAUCUCAGUUCUGAAAAGUUCCAAAACCUGAAGCUUGCUGAGUGCUGAGGCAUCACGGGUGACCAGUUCUACACCUGGCUUCAUGUUGGUGGGUCUUGGUGAAAUCACCGGCACACUAACAAUGUAUAACAUUGUUGUCAGGCGCCAAUGGCGCCUGUGAGACAUCACUGAAUGGCGUGCUUAGACUCAAGCUUUGGCCCUAUGAUAUCUCAUGAUGUACGUGCAAAAACUCCAAAAUCCAAGACAAAAUAAAAUCCCAAACUUGCAAUA